CACCGUACGUGACAGUCAGCGCUAACCUCUUCGAAAAUCUUGGUCUCAUCAGGCUGGGAAAUCUACAUACUUCUUACAACAAGACAACUGAGUGGCGCACUGGACCAGCUGUGGUAAAUGCUUUCUACUAUCCUGGCAGCAACGACGUUACGUUCCCGGCUGGGGUUCUUCAACCACCGUUCUACAAGUA